rnacentral:rRNA from 1 species
UACGUAGGGGGCAAGCGUUGUCCGGAAUCAUUGGGCGUAAAGAGCGUGUAGGCGGCCAGAUAAGUCCGCUGUGAAAUCUCGAGGCUCAACUUCGAGCUGUCGGUGGAAACUGUCUGGCUAGAGUCCGGAAGAGGAGAAUGGAAUUCCUGGUGUAGCGGUGAAAUGCGCAGAUAUCAGGAAGAACACCCGUGGCGAAGGCGGGUUGCUGGGCUGACACUGACGCUGAGGCGCGAAAGCUAGGGGAGCGAACGGG